AUAGUUUUAGGUUAUUUAGACCAGUUGUUUUCAAAAUAACUAGUAGUUUUAGGACUAAACUAUG
rnacentral:tRNA from 1 species